GACGAACGCUGGCGGCGUGCUUAACACAUGCAAGUCGAACGGAAAGGCCCUGCUUUUGUGGGGUGCUCGAGUGGCGCACGGGUGAGUAACACGUGAGUAACCUGCCCUUGACUUUGGGAUAACUUCAGGAAACUGGGGCUAAUACCGGAUAGGAGCUCCUGCUGCAUGGUGGGGGUUGGAAAGUUUCGGCGGUUGGGGAUGGACUCGCGGCUUAUCAGCUUGUUGGUGGGGUAGUGGCUUACCAAGGCUUUGACGGGUAGCCGGCCUGAGAGGGUGACCGGCCACAAUGGGACUGAGAUACGGCCCAGACUCCUACGGGAGGCAGCAGUGGGGAAUAUUGCACAAUGGGCGGAAGCCUGAUGCAGCAACGCCGCGUGCGGGAUGACGGCCUUCGGGUUGUAAACCGCUUUCGCCUGUGACGAAGCGUGAGUGACGGUAAUGGGUAAAGAAGCACCGGCUAACUACGUG
rnacentral:rRNA from 1 species